UCCAUUAAACUAAAACCAACAAAAUAUUUAAAUAAAUUUAUUAAAAAUUCUUAUUUAAAUAAUUUAAAAGAAACUAACAGUAACAAACUCAAACUAAUCAACGAACUUAUAACAAAAACAAGAAAUUUAAAUAAACUAAAAAUAAUUGUAUAGAUAAAUCUACAAACCCUUAAAAUAAUAAAUUUAUAACAAAAUUUUGUUUGUGAGUUAAGCUUAAAGCCUUUAAAACAUAACAUUUUGAAAAAUUUCCUUAAAACAAGAGAACUUCAAAAAACAUUUAACUCCUUUUUCACUUAUACUACAAACAAAAAUUAUACGUAAUUUAACACAAAAAAAACAAGAACAAUAAAUAAUUAAAAAAAAGUAAAAAAUUUCAUUAAAAACUACAUAACUGACACACUAAUACCAACACGCCACGAAAGGGAAACAAAACCCAAAAAAAAAAGAACGAAAACAUCAUUGUCCAGUGCGUGCAUUAAAACAACAGCUACAUCUACAACAACAACAAUUGCAAGUUAUAUAACAAAACCAUUAAACUACACAAAUUAAACCCAAAUUGUAAAACAAAACAACAAAAUAAUUGUAUUAGUCUUUAAACGGACAAAAUGGACGAACUGCCAGAUUUAUCACACUUAACACCCCAUGAACGAAUGCAAAUUGAAAAUGUGCUCAGGCGUCAGAAACAAGAGGAGGAGCAGCAAAAUGAAAUUAUGCGGCGCAAACAGGAUGAGGUUAUAACAUUGGAAAUGCAAAUCAAACAACGUUCGGAGCAACAGAAAAAAGCUGGUGUUGAACUUGAUGCAACCUGUCACAUAUGCCUUAAGACGAAAUUUGCCGAUGGUGUUGGACACAUAUGUAACUACUGUAAUACAAGAUGCUGUGCUCGAUGUGGAGGCAAAGUGACACUACGCAGCAAUAAGGUCAUCUGGGUGUGCAUAUUGUGUCGUAAAAAACAAGAAUUAUUAUCAAAGACUGGUCAAUGGAUGAAUAAGGGAGCGGUACAACAAGAUGGUUUCAUAAGACGCAAUGAACCGGAUGGCAGUAGUGAUAUUUCGCAACAAGCUAUAGUAGAUCCACAUGAUACACUCGACAAACGACCAAAACUCGAACGAACGCGAAGUGCAGCGGAAAAGGAAAAUCUACCGCUGCAACGUUCGGGCAGUAUGCUAAAGCGACAAUAUUCACAACAGGAACAAACAACGAAUCAACGGAUGAUGGGAAACGAUGGCGGCAUGGAUAUGAUAAGUCCGGGUCAGCGACAACGUAUGCAGCCCAUGACACCGCAACAAAUGCAACAGCAACAACAGCAGGCACAAUAUAGAGGACAAACGUUGAGUGGGGGUGGAGGAGGCAGCUCAACAGCGUAUCACACCGAUGAAGAUCCUAGAUUAUAUCAGGGAGAAAUUGAUGGUUUAAUGAAACAGCAUCCCCAUUUAGCACAUCCCAGUCAAAGACAGCAGCAACAAUAUCAGUAUCAACAACAGCAACAACAACAACAGCAGGCACAUCAUCAACAAUAUGGUAGCAGUCAACAAACACAACAUUCUAUGCGCUCUCAACAACAACAACAUUUACCACCCAAUGCUACAUCUUCCUCUAUCUCCUCCUAUUCCCAACACCAACAACAACAAAGGCUUCCAGUAUCUCAGCAAUCACAUCAUCCCCAUCAUUUGCAGUCAUCCUCGGCGACUGCAUUACAUCAUCCACAAUCGCAGCAUGCCUAUGGUUCAGCACAAAUGUCAUCAUCCUCUGCCGCCGCUUUAAAUACUCAGUUGCCAACGCCGCCUUUAGCCGGCCCCAUGUCGGCUUCUGUCCCCUCCGCCAGUGCGUCUCAGGGCUAUCAGAAACCUCCACCCAUACAACGGAAUCUAACCAUUAGUGGUGGUCAUGCCAUGGAUCCCACUACCUACAAUGCACGUCGCCAUCUGACCACUAGCACCCAACAACAACAGUAUCCCAUACAACAACAAAGAAGUUUCAAUACCUACGAAGAUGAGCUACCAACGAAACAAAUGCUUUCACAGCUUCAGACAUCAGCUGUUAAUGCUGCGCAACAGGCGCAGCAGCAACAACAGCAACAUCAAUAUGAGUUUGAAGCAUCUUUGCGUGUGGAACCCUGGCGUCAGCAACGAAGUCUUAACGAACGUGAUCUUUUAAGUGUAAGCAAUUCAUAUGCCUCGGACUACCAUCGAUUGUCGUCUAGCAAUCGUUUGUAUUCAUCAGCAGAUCGUGAUCGUUACGAUUUGCAUCGUGAAAGACUGGAAAAAUAUCCUUUAACACGUACAGCACGAUUGGAUGUACAACAGCGUAAUACGUUUAAUCGCUCUAAUCACGAUCGGCAAACAGUGGGUCUAAGUACGAGCCUUGAAGGUGGUCGAGUUGUAGGAGGAGGUCUUAGUGGUGGUAGUGAGACAUUUUAUGGUGUUAGAAGAGCUCCACCCUUGGCUACUGCUGCCUCGAGAGGUGUGGCUGGCAGCAACUAUACGCACAACCAUAAACAGCCACAAAUAGUUAUUGGCGACACUGCACAUACAUUGGCUUCUAAAGCGUCAUCAAACGCCACAUCUAUAUAUGAACGUUAUAUAGGCGGUAGUGCAACUAUGGCAUCAUUAACGGGAUCAACAGCUGAAGGGGCCACCACACGUAGCUUAAGUCGUGAACGUAACUUGGUAGAUGGUUAUCUGGAUGAAUUUCCCAGUCCUGGCUCAACGCUGUCGAAUAAAGCUCAAGAUUCACGCCGCUUUACGGAACGUAGAAUAAAGAAAACGGUACGUUUUGAUGCACAUGACGAUGAAGAUCCAUUAGUGCCAGGCCUAACGUCUCUACCGCCGGUCACCACCAUUUUACCUUCGACGGCGGUAGAUGUGGGCGUGGCCACAAUAUUGACCAGCGCCAAAUUGGGCGCCACUAACACUGCCACUAAUAAUAGUAGUUUAAGUGAUAAUGCCAAUAACUGGUCCCGCCAGUGGGACAGUGAGCGUCAGGGAAGUCAAGAUUCUGCAACCAAGGAUUCGGGUAUUGAUACCAGCAGUACCUUUACCAGUAGUGAAGAUUCCAAUCGUGGUGACGGCCUUAAGAUUGAUUUGCAAGAGCGUCGUUCAAGACGUGAUAUGUCACCUCAGGGCCGUAAAAGAGUGGCCGGCAUGGUAGCUCGUGAUUAUCGUACAGUUUCGGGCAUUGGACAAAGUUAUCACAAUCAGGCUCCUGGCGCACAAAGUGGUUACUUUCGUCGUAAUGGUACUACCACCACUGGUCCUGGUGGCAUGAGUCUUAGCCAACGUAGUCAUUCAGCUGCUCCAAGUGAUGCCUAUCAUAGCGGUUACUAUCGCAGUUCCAGUCCAAGACGUGGCUCAUUGUCACCGCCUGAGUAUAGAGGUCACGAUAUAGGCAGCAUACCACCUUAUAGUGGUGCCACCUCGAUAAUCACACCGUACGAUAGUGGGGUGGGAUCGUCGUCAUCACAGCAGCAACGUUUUCAAUCGCGCUCAGCGACUGCCACGCCGACUGGUUCGCCCAAAAAGAGACAACUGCCAAAGGUCCCCCAAACAUCACGCAGCGCUAUGAUACGUGAUCGCUUGGGUCAGGAGUUCGAUGAUCGUUUAACGUCUGGUAACGGUGGUGGUGGCCGUUUCGGACGACAUCGCACACGUCAGCCACAUCAUCAGCCAUUGUAUCGUAGUACCGGUGGCGGUGGCUGGGAACGUCAUUACACCGGUGCUUCGGACAGUGAUCUGCACUCGAUGGAAACUCGUAUGCGACCACGACAUUCCCUAUCGCCCGACAAAGAUUUUAUGGGCGAAUUCGGUGAUUCCGAUAUGGAGUCAGUUGUUAGUGUAACAUCAAGUUCUUUCUCCACACAAUCCGAAAGGCCACGAGGGUCAAGAGGUCUCAGUGAAUAUGUUGAUACAAAAGCUGAAGGCGGUGAUAAAAAGGAUGAUCCCAAUCAAAUACAGAGUGCUGAUGAAAAAGUCGAUGGCAGUUUAUCAGACACUGCCCAGGAUCGUAAAAAAGGUACUUUGGACCAAGAACGUUCGCCCAAAAGCGGUAGUGGCAUGGGUAAAAAAUCCAACUCCACCUCCCAACUAUCAGCAACAGACCAAAAUGAGGCACAAUAUAGCACUACAACCACCACCACCUCCACUACAACCAACAAUAACAACACCACCACCACCUCUAAUACAUCUCAUCAUCUUCAUCAAUUACAUCCAAUUCAUUAUCAACGUCAAUCGCGUGGUUCAGCUGGUAGUAUACAAAGAUCUGUUGAAGUUACACCAUCGACAUCUAUAAUGCAAUAUCGUGCCGGUAGUAUACAUUCAUUACCCAGCUCAGAAGCCUCAUCAUAUUCACCCACCAUUAGAGCCGAUGAACAAAUUAAUCAAUUUGUAGAGGGCUUGGGACCGGGACAAUUAGUUGGUCGCCAAGUAUUGGGGGCUCCUUCUUUGGGUGAUAUACAAUUGUCACUGUGCUGUCAGAAAAACUGUCUAGAAGUGGAGGUUAUAAGAGCUAGAGGUUUACAGCAAAAACCCACAUCCAAAAUGUUACCGGCUCCUUAUGUUAAAGUUUAUUUGGUUUCGGGCAAAAAAUGUAUAGAUAAAAUGAAGACAUCAACUGCUCGUCGUACUUUGGAACCAUUGUAUCAGCAGCAAUUGGUUUUUCAGCACUGCAAUACUAAAGGCUGUGUUUUACAAGUUACCGUUUGGGGUGAUUAUGGCCGCAUUGAAAAGAAAGUUUUUAUGGGCGUGGCUCAAAUAAUGCUGGAUCAGAUAGAUCUAUCGAAUGGCAUUGUAAUUGGCUGGUAUAAACUAUUCGGCACCACAUCACUGGGUCGUCCUAUUGUUUGGGCUGGCGAUACAAUAAUGGAAGAAGAUUGUGAAUAAUAUCUAAUAAUUGAAAAUAAUUGAAAAUCAAAUGAAUUUCGUACUUUAAUCACACAACACUUUAAGUAAGUAACAGGUACUUAACAAACAACUAGACUAAACGAGGUUGUGAUGUAACAAAAAAAAUGCAGCCCUCAAGAAUAAAUAACGGCCAAACGAAAUCUACACUAAACAUAAAAACACACGUUAACACCGUUUCACAAAAAUAUUAUAAACAUUUAUGAAAAGUAUCAGGAAUUGAUAACGCGAAAUGAUAACCUUUACAAAGGGCUGCCACAUUAGCAGCCAAUUAGUUAAAAACCAAAAGUAACGAAAAAAUACCAGAAGGAAACACAGAUACUCAAGAGU